UACAGAGGGGGCAAGCGUUGUUCGGAAUUACUGGGCGUAAAGGGCGCGUAGGCGGCCCGCUAAGUCGAACGUGAAAUCCCCGAGCUCAACUCGGGAACUGCGUCCGAUACUGGCGGGCUUGAAUCCGGGAGAGGGAUGCGGAAUUCCAGGUGUAGCGGUGAAAUGCGUAGAUAUCUGGAGGAACACCGGUGGCGAAGGCGGCAUCCUGGACCGACACUGACACUGAGGAGCGAAGGCCAGGGGAGCAAACGGG
rnacentral:rRNA from 1 species